UUGAACGCUGGCGGCAGGCCUAACACAUGCAAGUCGAACGGUAACAGGAAGAAGCUUGCUUCUUUGCUGACGAGUGGUGGACGGGUGAGUAAUGUCUGGGAAACUGCCUGAUGGAGGGGGAUAACUACUGGAAACGGUAGCUAAUACCGCAUAACGUCGCAAGACCAAAGAGGGGGACCUUCGGGCCUCUUGCCAUCGGAUGUGCCCAGAUGGGAUUAGCUAGUAGGUGGGGUAACGGCUCACCUAGGCGACGAUCCCUAGCUGGUCUGAGAGGAUGACCAGCCACACUGGAACUGAGACACGGUCCAGACUCCUACGGGAGGCAGCAGUGGGGAAUAUUGCACAAUGGGCGCAAGCCUGAUGCAGCCAUGCCGCGUGUAUGAAAAAGGCCUUCGGGUUGUAAAGUACUUUCAGCGGGGAGGAAGGGAGUAAAGUUAAUACCUUUGCUCAUUGACGUUACCCGCAGAAGAAGCACCGGCUAACUCCGUG
rnacentral:rRNA from 1 species